CGCGGGAUUAGAGUUUGAUCCUGGCUCAGAUUGAACGCUGGCGGCAGGCCUAACACAUGCAAGUCGAGCGGUAACAGGAAUUAGCUUGCUAAUUCGCUGACGAGCGGCGGACGGGUGAGUAAUGCCUGGGAAUAUGCCUUAGUGUGGGGGAUAACUAUUGGAAACGAUAGCUAAUACCGCAUAAUGUCUUCGGACCAAAGAGGGGGACCUUCGGGCCUCUCGCGCUAAGAUUAGCCCAGGUGAGAUUAGCUUGUUGGUGAGGUAAGAGCUCACCAAGGCGACGAUCUCUAGCUGGUCUGAGAGGAUGAUCAGCCACACUGGAACUGAGACACGGUCCAGACUCCUACGGGAGGCAGCAGUGGGGAAUAUUGCACAAUGGGCGCAAGCCUGAUGCAGCCAUGCCGCGUGUAUGAAGAAGGCCUUCGGGUUGUAAAGUACUUUCAGUGGGGAGGAAGGUGUUGUCGUUAAUAGCGGCAGCAUUUGACGUUACCCACAGAAGAAGCACCGGCUAACUCCGUGCCAGCAGCCGCGGUAAUACGGAGGGUGCGAGCGUUAAUCGGAAUUACUGGGCGUAAAGCGCAUGCAGGUGGUUCAUUAAGUCAGAUGUGAAAGCCCGGGGCUCAACCUCGGAACCGCAUUUGAAACUGGUGAACUAGAGUGCUGUAGAGGGGGGUAGAAUUUCA
rnacentral:rRNA from 1 species